GCAGUAGUGGUUCCGUGGUAGAAUUCUUGCCUUCCAUGCGGGAGAACCGGGUUCAAUUCCCAGCUAAUGCG
rnacentral:tRNA from 1 species